rnacentral:lncRNA from 1 species
GAAUGAAUACAAAUACAUUUAUAUAUACAUUUAUAUAUAUAUAUAUAUAUAUAUAGUGUCCUACUGAUGUCAAAAGAUUAGGAUCACAGCGUGGCGCCACCGAACGAGAAACGUCGUGUCUGCAGUUUUGACGAUGAAUGCCGCUGGCGAUUUCGAAGCUAGAAAGGAAGAAGAAGAUGAAAAAGAGAAGAGGAUUCUUGUGGUCAAUGACGAUGGUAUCAGUGUUGGUGUUGGUUUGGCGUUGGUGUUGGUAUUGGUGGCGAUGGUGGUAUUGGUGGUGGUGGUGAUGGUGGUGGUGGUGGUGGUGGUGGUGGUGGUGCUGGUGGCAGAGUCCACAGUGGGAAGAGUUAAGAGAGAAGCUCGAACGAGAGGGGUAAAUGUAAGAGUAGAGGGUUUCCACGUGCUCGGUGCAUCGGUUAAAGAGAAGGGUCGUCGUUGAUACAAAGAUGGAUAAAUGAGGUAUGAAGCGUGCCGCUAAUGAUAAUAACGAGCAACGAAUGACAAUGCGAAUCGAUCGAGGAGCAUGCGUGGCCUCCCCCCCCCCCUGUAAACACGCGUUAUGGUAGCGUUAACACAGGUUAAACCGUCUGCUCUGUUCGGUCGGCGAACCAGGACGGCUGGCUCAACGUUUACCUCAUGAAAAUGUGCUGCAUCCUACGAUAUCGAUGAUAACACAAUUAUGUAAGCAUUUCAAAGCGAUGCCAGUCAAAUGGAUAUUAAUACCUACGAUAUAGACUGAAUGUUCUAGGAUAAAAUCAUUACCGAGCGAAAGAGAGAGAGAGAGAGAGAUAGAGGAAUAAAUGGAUACGUUAAAC